rnacentral:rRNA from 1 species
UCGAGAAUUUUUCUCAAUGGGCGAAAGCCUGAAGGAGCGACGCCGCGUGGGGGAUGAAGGGUUUCGAUCCGUAAACCCCUGUCAUUUGCGAACAAACCUUAUUAUUGAAUAGAUGAUGAGCUGAUUGUAGCGAAAGAGGAAGGGACGGCUAACUCUGUGCCAGCAGCCGCGGUAAUACAGAGGUCCCGAGCGUUGUUCGGAUUCACUGGGCGUAAAGGGUGCGUAGGUGGCGGGGUAAGUUUGAUGUGAAAUCUCCGGGCUUAACCCGGAAAAUGCAUUGAAUACUAUUCUGCUUGGAGGGUUGGAGGGGGGACUGGAAUUCUCGGUGUAGCAGUGAAAUGCGUAGAUAUCGAGAGGAACACCAGUGGCGAAGGCGAGUCCCUGGACAACACCUGACACUGAGGCACGAAAGCUAGGGGAGCAAACAG